GUUCCUACUAGUGAGAGAAAGUAGUUUUAGUUCCUGUGAACUACUGACAGAAAGAGCUAAACUAACCAACUGAUAUAUAAAAUAAUAUAGUGGACAGUCUUUAAUUAUGAACUAUGGGUAAUAGAAAAUUCUUAAUCCAGCCGAAUGCAGAUGCACCUAACCAGCUUGGAGAAGGGAAAUAAUACAUUACAUCAAGUUGAGACGAGCAUCUUCUGUCCUUACACAUCAUUUGUAUUGCUCGUUGGAUUUAACCGUGGUUGUAAGCAGUACUCAAAACUCAUCUUAGAUCUGGAAAGAACUGCUCGCACCAUCACUGUGUCAUCAUCAUCAUCUUUCAGAUAUACUGAGGGAACUGUCGUCCAUCUUCCACAUGAACUGCUCCGAUAGACUUCUUCCGGACUUCGAGGAUAUGACGGAAGCCCACUGCCGUAUGCAUUAUUUCCCCGACAGCUAGUAAGUAGUCUUCUUCGUGGUGUUUAGCCACCCAAGAACUCGAGGAAGAAGACGACAAUGGCGAAGAAUAGGAGUAACAAGACGGAGCAAGU